rnacentral:rRNA from 1 species
GUGGGGAAUAUUGGACAAUGGGGGCAACCCUGAUCCAGCCAUGCCGCGUGAGUGAUGAAGGCCUUCGGGUUGUAAAGCUCUUUUGGCGGGGACGAUGAUGACGGUACCCGCAGAAUAAGCCCCGGCUAACUUCGUGCCAGCAGCCGCGGUAAGACGAAGGGGGCUAGCGUUGUUCGGAAUUACUGGGCGUAAAGCGAGUGUAGGUGGUUGUCAUAGUCAGGUGUGAAAGCCUUGAGCUCAACUCAAGAAAUGCACUUGAUACUGGGCGACUAGAGGACCGGAGAGGAUAGUGGAAUUCCCAGUGUAGUGGUGAAAUACGUAGAGAUUGGGAAGAACACCAGUGGCGAAGGCGGCUAUCUGGACGGUUACUGACACUAAGACUCGAAAGCGUGUGGAGCAAACAGGAUUAGAUACCCCGGUAGUCC